UGAUAAAAGAUGGCUAUGCGUCUUAUUAGCUAGAUGGUAAGGUAACGGCUUACCACGGCAACGAUAAGUAGGGGCCCUGAGAGGGGGAUCCCCCACACUGGUACUGAGACACGGACCAGACUCCUACGGGAGGCAGCAGUGAGGAAUAUUGGGCAAUGGAGGCAACUCUGACCCAGCCAUGCCGCGUGCAGGAAGACUGCCCUAUGGGUUGUAAACUGCUUUUAUA
rnacentral:rRNA from 1 species